rnacentral:rRNA from 1 species
UACGUAGGGUGCGAGCGUUGCCCGGAUUUAUUGGGCGUAAAGCGUGCGCAGACGGUCAUGUAAGUCGGGUGUGAAAGCCCCGGGCUCAACCUGGGAAUUGCAUUCGAGACUGCAUGGCUAGGGUGCGGAAGAGGGAAGCGGAAUUUCCGGUGUAGCGGUGAAAUGCGUAGAUAUCGGAAGGAACACCAGUGGCGAAAGCGGGUUCCUGGUCCAGCACCGACGUUCAGGCACGAAAGCGUGGGGAGCAAACAGG